rnacentral:rRNA from 1 species
GACGAACGCUGGCGGCGUGCCUAAUACAUGCAAGUUGAGCGCUGAAGGUUGUUACUUGUUCCGACUGGAUGAGCAGCGCACGGGUGAGUAACGCGUGGGGAAUCUGCCUUUGAGCGGGGGACAACAUUUGGAAACGAAUGCUAAUACCGCAUAAAAACUUUAAACACAAGUUUUAAGUUUGAAAGAUGCAAUUGCAUCACUCUAAUACUAUCUCCCGUUGUAUUAGCUAGGUGUUGAGCUAAAGGCUCACCAAGGCGAGGAUACAUAGCUUACCUUAGAGGGUGCUCGGCCCCAUUCGGACUGAGACACGGCACAAACUCCUACGAGAGGCAGCAGUAGCGAAUCUUAGGCAAUCGAAGCAAGUCGGACCAAACACCGGCGCGUGAGUGAAGAAGGCUUUCGGAUCGUGAAAAUCUGUUGGUAGAGAAGAACGUAGGUGAGAGUGGAACGCUCAUAAAGUGACGGUAACUACACAGGAAGGGACGGCUAACUACGUG